rfam:Nematostella vectensis strain CH2 x CH6 NEMVEscaffold_103_Cont12720, whole genome shotgun sequence.
GCGUUGGUGGUAUAGUGGUAAACAUAGCUGCCUUCCAAGCAGUUGACCCGGGUUCGAUUCCCGGCCAACGCA